rnacentral:rRNA from 1 species
GACGAACGCUGGCGGCGUGCUUAACACAUGCAAGUCGAACGGAAAGGCCCUGCUUUUGUGGGGUGCUCGAGUGGCGAACGGGUGAGUAACACGUGAGUAACCUGCCCUUGACUUUGGGAUAACUUCAGGAAACUGGGGCUAAUACCGGAUAGGAGCUCCUGCUGCAUGGUGGGGGUUGGAAAGUUUCGGCGGUUGGGGAUGGACUCGCGGCUUAUCAGCUUGUUGGUGGGGUAGUGGCUUACCAAGGCUUUGACGGGUAGCCGGCCUGAGAGGGUUACCGGCCACAUGGGGACUGAGAUACGGACCAGAAUCCUACGGGAGGCAGCAGUGGGGAAUAUUGCACAAUGGGCGGAAGCCUGAUGCAGCAACGCCGCGUGCGGGAUGACGGCCUUCGGGUUGUAAACCGCUUUCGCCUGUGACGAAGCGUGAGUGACGGUAAUGGGUAAAGAAGCACCGGCUAACUACGUG